rnacentral:rRNA from 1 species
GACAGCAGCCGCCGCGGUAAUACGGAGGGUGCAAGCGUUAAUCGGAAUUACUGGGCGUAAAGCGCACGCAGGCGGUCUGACAAGUCAGAUGUGAAAUCCCCGGGCUUAACCUGGGAACUGCAUUUGAAACUGUCAGGCUGGAGUCUUGUAGAGGGGGGUGGAAUUCCAGGUGUAGCGGUGAAAUGCGUAGAGAUCUGGAGGAAUACCGGUGGCGAAGGCGGCCCCCUGGACAAAGACUGACGCUCAGGUGCGAAAGCGUGGGGAGCAAACAGGAUUAGAUACCCCGGUAGUCCCUGUCUCUUAUAC